GGUUAAGCGACUAAGCGUACACGGUGGAUGCCCUGGCAGUCAGAGGCGAUGAAGGACGUGCUAAUCUGCGAUAAGCGCCGGUAAGGUGAUAUGAACCGUUAUAACCGGCGAUUUCCGAAUGGGGAAACCCAGUGUGACUCGUCACACUAUCAUUAACUGAAUCCAUAGGUUAAUGAGGCGAACCGGGGGAACUGAAACAUCUAAGUACCCCGAGGAAAAGAAAUCAACCGAGAUUCCCCCAGUAGCGGCGAGCGAACGGGGAGGAGCCCAGAGACUGAAUCAGCAUGUGUGUUAGUGGAAGCGUCUGGAAAGGCGCGCGAUACAGGGUGACAGCCCCGUACACAAAAGCGCAUGUGCUGUGAGCUCGAUGAGUAGGGCGGGACACGUGGUAUCCUGUCUGAAUAUGGGGGGACCAUCCUCCAAGGCUAAAUACUCCUGACUGACCGAUAGUGAACCAGUACCGUGAGGGAAAGGCGAAAAGAACCCCGGCGAGGGGAGUGAAAAAGAACCUGAAACCGUGUACGUACAAGCAGUGGGAGCACAGGUUUACCUGUGUGACUGCGUACCUUUUGUAUAAUGGGUCAGCGACUUAUAUUCUGUAGCAAGGUUAACCGAAUAGGGGAGCCG
rnacentral:rRNA from 1 species